rnacentral:rRNA from 1 species
GAUGAUCAGCCACACCGGGACUGAGACACGGCCCGGACUCCUACGGGAGGCAGCAGUGGGGAAUAUUGGACAAUGGGGGCAACCCUGAACCAGCCAUGCCGCGUGUGUGAAGAAGGCCUUUUGGUUGUAAAGCACUUUAAGCAGUGAAGAAGACCUAACGGUUAAUACCCGUUAGCGAUGACAUUAGCUGCAGAAUAAGCACCGGCUAACUCUGUGCCAGCAGCCGCGGUAAUACAGAGGGUGCAAGCGUUAAUCGGAAUUACUGGGCGUAAAGCGAGCGUAGGUGGCUUGAUAAGUCAGAUGUGAAAUCCCCGGGCUUAACCUGGGAACUGCAUCUGAUACUGUUGGGCUAGAGUAGGUGAGAGGGAGGUAGAAUUUCAGGUGUAGCGGUGAAAUGCGUAGAGAUCUGAAGGAAUACCGAUGGCGAAGGCAGCSUCCUGGCAUCAUACUGACACUGAGGUUCGAAAGCGUGGGUAGCAAACAGGAUUAGAUACCCUGGUAGUCCACGCCGUAAACGAUGUCUACUAGUCGUUGGGGAACUUGAUUCCUUAGUGACGCAGCUAACGCAAUAAGUAGACCGCCUGGGGAGUACGGCCGCAAGGUUAAAACUCAAAUGAAUUGACGGGGGCCCGCACAAGCGGUGGAGCAUGUGGUUUAAUUCGAUGCAACGCGAAGAACCUUACCUGGUCUUGACAUAUCUAGAAUCCUGCAGAGAUGCGGGAGUGCCUUCGGGAAUUAGAAUACAGGUGCUGCAUGGCUGUCGUCAGCUCGUGUCGUGAGAUGUUGGGUUAAGUCCCGCAACGAGCGCAACCCUUUUCCUUAGUUACCAGCGGUUUGGCCGGGGACUCUAAGGAUACUGCCAGUGACAAACUGGAGGAAGGCGGGGACGACGUCAAGUCAUCAUGGCCCUUACGACCAGGGCUACACACGUGCUACAAUGGUAGGUACAGAGGGCAGCUACACAGCGAUGUGAUGCGAAUCUCAAAAAGCCUAUCGUAGUCCAGAUUGGAGUCUGCAACUCGACUCCAUGAAGUAGGAAUCGCUAGUAAUCGCGGAUCAGAAUGCCGCGGUGAAUACGUUCCCGGGCCUUGUACACACCGCCCGUCACACCAUGGGAGUUGAUUGCACCAGAAGUGGGUAGCCUAACUUUUAGAGGGCGCUCACCACGGUGUGGUUGAUGACUGGGGUGAAGUCGUAACAAGGUAACCCGGGCGGCCGCUC